AACACGGACCAAGGAGUCUAGUAUGUGCGCGAGUCCAAGGGCUGGCUAAACCCUAAGGCGAAACGAAAGUGAAAGGGGCGGUGUGCCGCGUCGGGCGCUCGGGUUUUUUUGGCCCGACUGCUCGCGCGCGGUCCCGCCCUGUGGGCCGAUCCGGUUCGGGUGAAAUUCCCGAUUUGCCUCGAUAUUCUUUCUUAUUUUUUUAAGAGGAAAAACCUAGGAGGGCGGCGCAGGCCCGGGGCUCGCUAGUUUUCUUCCCCGCCAUUAACGCUAUCUUCUCCGUUUUAAAGCGGUUCUCGGAAGCGUUCCCCGACCUCACGUUCCGCCCUUUCCCUUCCAUUCGGCGUCCCUUUUUAAGGAGCGUCGUCUAAGGGGGGGUUGGGAUCCGGGAGUAUUGGGCGGGGGAAGCGUGAAGAGGCCGCUGCGGGGCGGAACGCGGGCGCGGGACGAACGGCGGGUACCUCGAGCGCACAUUCUGGUACCCGAAAGAUGGUGAUCUAUGCUUGACCAGGAUGAAGCCAGAGGAAACUCUGGUGGAGGUCCGUAGCGGAUUCUGGACGUGCAAAUCGAUC
rnacentral:rRNA from 1 species